CGCGGCACCGCCCGCCAUGGCGGCGAUCGCGGCCCCUCAGCGCGGGCGGGCCCAGGGCGGGGCCUGCGGAUCCCAUAAAUUCCAGCGCGCUGCUCCCGCCCGGCCUCUUGCUGCGCGCCGGCUGAGGGCGCGGCGGAGCCCAAGGCCUGUGGGAGCGCCCUGCCCGGAGCGAGACCGGCCAUGAGGGCACUUCCCCGGCGUGCGCCCGCAGGCCCGAGCCUCUGCCGGGGCCAGGCGGGCACUGUGAAGGCUGAAGCUGGGGGUUGAGCCUUGGGGAGACCUGAAGUUAAGGCUGCAGCUGGGGGUUGAGCCUUGGGGAGACCUGAAGUUAAGGCUGCAGCUGACAGUGAAGAAGUGUGUGGGGAGUUGUCUGCUUUGCUCCACCAUGCCUGAACCUCUAGCAAAUAACAGUAAGUCUUUGAAGGCACUGUGAAGGCAGAUGUUGGGUGUUGAGCCUUGGGGAGACCUGAAGUUAAGGCUGCAGCUGACAACGUGUGAUGUGGGCAGUUGUCUGCUUUGCUCCACCGUGUGUCUCAUUAUCAGGGGAGAAUGGUUGAGAUUUAUGAGAAGUUGUCCUGGGUCUUGCUGCAGGUUCAGUGCUCUGCUGAAGAUGGAUGGUUCUGCUGCUCCCAUGCUGCUUCCUGGAAUCCUCAUUCAAGCCACAGCAUUCCAUCAGCCUGCAACUCCUGACGUCUCAAAGCUGUCAGGAGUGAUUAAUUUGUGUCCUGCCAACUUAAAUGGAGGGUGUUACAUUUUUUUGUCCCCUGGGUACAAGGCAUGUAACUGGAAUGGAUUCUGGAGCUUUUGCAUGUUUGAUGCAGUUGGAUGCUUAUGUCUGCAGGGGCUGCAUUCCCUGCCUGGCAGCUCUGUUAUCCGGCCAUAGUCAUGAAGGGCAAGGAAGCCUCCUCAGAGCAGCUGUCAGGUGUGGGAGGAUGGCCUUGUGUGUGAGGAAGGGAGUCAGGGCUUGGUUCUCCCCUGCCAUGCAGAAAGCUUCAGUGGUGUGUCCCUGGCAGCCUGUGAAGUGGGCAAGGGAUGCUGCAGCCCGGUGUUUCUGUACUGCUGGGAGCCUGUUUGCAAUAAAACCUGAAUAAUGGGUGA